CCUACGGGAGGCCGCAGUGAGGAAUAUUGGUCAAUGGACGAGAGUCUGAACCAGCCAAGUAUCGUGACGGAUGACUGCCCUAUGGGUUGUAAACUUCUUUUAUGUGGGAAUAAAAUGUUCCACGUGUGGGAUUUUGUAUGUACCAUAUGAAUAAUGCUCGGCUAACUCCGUGCCAGCCGCCGCGGUAAUACGGAGGAUCCGAGCGUUAUCCGGAUUUAUUGGGUUUAAAGGGAGCGUAGGUGGAUUGUUAAGUCAGUUGUGAAAGUUUGCGGCUCAACCGUAAAAUUGCAGUUGAAACUGGCAGUCGUGAGUACAGUAGAGGUGGGCGGAAUUCGUGGUGUAGCGGUGAAAUGCUUAGAUAUCACGAAGAACUCCGAUUGCGAAGGCAGCUCACUAGACUGCAACUGACACUGAGGCUCGAAAGUGUGGGUAUCAAACAGGAUUAGAUACCCUUGUAGUC
rnacentral:rRNA from 1 species